UACGUAGGUGGCGAGCGUUGUUCGGAAUCACUGGGCGUAAAGCGCACGUAGGCGGCUUGUUAAGUCAGGGGUGAAAUCCUGGAGCUCAACUCCAGAACUGCCUUUGAUACUGAGGAUCUUGAGUUCGGGAGAGGUGAGUGGAACUGCGAGUGUAGAGGUGAAAUUCGUAGAUAUUCGCAAGAACACCAGCGGCGAAGGCGGCUCACUGGCCCGAUACUGACGCUGAGGCACGAAAGCGUGGGGAGCAAACAGG
rnacentral:rRNA from 1 species